AUAUCCUUUAAUCCGGCCCUGUGAGGCCGGGAAGGAACCGAGAUGAUCAUCAACCGGACACUCAAGACUCCAUAUGCGCGUCGAAACCUCCUCCCGGAGUCCGGGGGGAGGUUUUUUUGU
rfam:Nitrospirae bacterium RBG_16_64_22 RBG_16_scaffold_8236, whole genome shotgun sequence.